UAAAAGCAAUAUGAGAACCCGGGU
rnacentral:piRNA from 1 species